GGAAGUCGAGCGGUAGAGAGAAGCUUGCUGUCUCUUGAGAGCGGCGGACGGGUGAGUAAAGCCUAGGAAUCUGCCUGGUAGUGGGGGAUAACGUUCGGAAACGGACGCUAAUACCGCAUACGUCCUACGGGAGAAAGCAGGGGACCUUCGGGCCUUGCGCUAUCAGAUGAGCCUAGGUCGGAUUAGCUAGUUGGUGAGGUAAUGGCUCACCAAGGCGACGAUCCGUAACUGGUCUGAGAGGAUGAUCAGUCACACUGGAACUGAGACACGGUCCAGACUCCUACGGGAGGCAGCAGUGGGGAAUAUUGGACAAUGGGCGAAAGCCUGAUCCAGCCAUGCCGCGUGUGUGAAGAAGGUCUUCGGAUUGUAAAGCACUUUAAGUUGGGAGGAAGGGCAUUAACCUAAUACGUUAGUGUUUUGACGUUACCGACAGAAUAAGCACCGGCUAACUCUGUGCCAGCAGCCGCGGUAAUACAGAGGGUGCAAGCGUUAAUCGGAAUUACUGGGCGUAAAGCGCGCGUAGGUGGUUUGUUAAGUUGGAUGUGAAAUCCCCGGGCUCAACCUGGGAACUGCAUUCAAAACUGACUGACUAGAGUAUGGUAGAGGGUGGUGGAAUUUCCUGUGUAGCGGUGAAAUGCGUAGAUAUAGGAAGGAACACCAGUGGCGAAGGCGACCACCUGGACUAAUACUGACACUGAGGUGCGAAAGCGUGGGGAGCAAACAGGAUUAGAUACCCUGGUAGUCCACGCCGUAAACGAUGUCAACUAGCCGUUGGGAGCCUUGAGCUCUUAGUGGCGCAGCUAACGCAUUAAGUUGACCGCCUGGGGAGUACGGCCGCAAGGUUAAAACUCAAAUGAAUUGACGGGGGCCCGCACAAGCGGUGGAGCAUGUGGUUUAAUUCUAAGCAACGCGAAGAACCUUACCAGGCCUUGACAUCCAAUGAACUUUCUAGAGAUAGAUUGGUGCCUUCGGGAACAUUGAGACAGGUGCUGCAUGGCUGUCGUCAGCUCGGGUCUUGAGAUGUUGGGUUAAGUCCCGUAACGAGCGCAACCCUUGUCCUUAGUUACCAGCACGUAAUGGUGGGCACUCUAAGGAAACUGCCGGUGACAAACGGAAGGAAGGUGGGGAUGACGUCAAGUCAUCAUG
rnacentral:rRNA from 1 species